AUGCAAGUCGAGCGAACUGAUUAGAAGCUUGCUUCUAUGACGUUAGCGGCGGACGGGUGAGUAACACGUGGGCAACCUGCCUGUAAGACUGGGAUAACUUCGGGAAACCGAAGCUAAUACCGGAUAGGAUCUUCUCCUUCAUGGGAGAUGAUUGAAAGAUGGUUUCGGCUAUCACUUACAGAUGGGCCCGCGGUGCAUUAGCUAGUUGGUGAGGUAACGGCUCACCAAGGCAACGAUGCAUAGCCGACCUGAGAGGGUGAUCGGCCACACUGGGACUGAGACACGGCCCAGACUCCUACGGGAGGCAGCAGUAGGGAAUCUUCCGCAAUGGACGAAAGUCUGACGGAGCAACGCCGCGUGAGUGAUGAAGGCUUUCGGGUCGUAAAACUCUGUUGUUAGGGAAGAACAAGUACGAGAGUAACUGCUCGUACCUUGACGGUACCUAACCAGAAAGCCACGGCUAACUACGUGCCAGCAGCCGCGGUAAUACGUAGGUGGCAAGCGUUAUCCGGAAUUAUUGGGCGUAAAGCGCGCGCAGGCGGUUUCUUAAGUCUGAUGUGAAAGCCCACGGCUCAACCGUGGAGGGUCAUUGGAAACUGGGGAACUUGAGUGCAGAAGAGAAAAGCGGAAUUCCACGUGUAGCGGUGAAAUGCGUAGAGAU
rnacentral:rRNA from 1 species